AGCCAUCAGAAGUGUGUCUGACAAGAGCCUGAAACAGCGGUUGGCAGAGACAUGAAUGAAAGGCCAGUGUCUUGGAUUCAAUCACCCGGCUCUAAGUUGGCGCUGGCUUUUUAAGGGAUCCAGGGGCUGAAGCUGGAGGAGGAGGCAGCCAGGUCCCAGAGGGAGGGCAGCCAGCACAAGCCCCUGGAGGCCUUGUCUGACCUCAGCCUAGGAGGCUGAAUCUGCAGCCUCUGGCCACCGCGCCACCCUUGGGAAGGGGCUCCCGCAGAAGAGUUGGCUGUGCCCUCCAGGAGCUGGUCCUGCCGCUCACUUCCAUGGCCCUGGUGGCCUUCAUGGAGACAGCCAUUGUGUACAAAGGAAGGAAAGUAGCUGGGAGCUGUGGAUCCCAGGGAACCGUGACUGUCACAGACCACUGGGACUGCAGGAUUGACUCCCACUCAGACCAGAUCUAGGGCUCUGCAGAGCCCAAGACACCAUCUAUGGAAUGGUUGAUAGCCACCAACAUGCCUUGGGCCCCGUCUCACUGCUAGCAUCACCACACAUGCUUCUCCGACGCACCUCCCUCCCAGCUCUUCGAGAGGCCAGCAGAAGGAG